CCUACGGGCGGCAGCAGUGGGGAAUAUUGGACAAUGGGGGGAACCCUGAUCCAGCGACGCCGCGUGAGUGAAGAAGUAUUUCGGUAUGUAAAGCUCUAUCAGCAGGGAAGAAAAUGACGGUACCUGACUAAGAAGCACCGGCUAAAUACGUGCCAGCAGCCGCGGUAAUACGUAGGGAGCAAGCGUUAUACGGAUUUACUGGGUGUAAAGGGAGCGUAGAGGGUGCAGCAAGUGUGAUGUGAAAGGUCGGGGCCCAAACCCGGGACUGCAGUUGAAACUGUUGAACUGGAGUACAGGAGAGGUAAGCGGAAUUCCUGGUGUAGCGGUGAAAUGCGUAGAUAUUAGGAAGAACACCAGUGGCGAAGGCGGCUUACUGGACUGUAACUGACGUUGAGGCUCGAAAGCGUGGGGAGCGAACAGGAUUAGAUACCCCGGUAGUC
rnacentral:rRNA from 1 species